rnacentral:tRNA from 1 species
GCAUUAGUAGCUCAAUGCCCAGAGCGUUGGCCUUGUAAGCCAAAGGCUGGAGGUUAAAGCCCUCCCUUUUGCU